CAGCAGGAAUCAAGCCAGAUCCAGAUAUCGAUGCGUUUAUGAAAGCCUCAGCCAUUCAAGGCCAAAGAACAAGUAUAGUUUCCGACUAUGUUCUCAAGAUUCUGGGCCUUGACAU